rnacentral:rRNA from 1 species
GAAACAGGUGCUAAUACCGGAUAACAACAAUAGCUGCAUGGCUAUUGCUUAAAAGGCGGCGAAAGCUGUCGCUAAGGAUGGACCCGCGGUGCAUAGCUAGUUGUAAGGUAAUGGCUUACCAAGGCGACGAUGCAUAGCCGAGUUGAGAGACUGAUCGGCCACUUGGGACUGAGACACGGCCCAAACUCCUACGGGAGGCAGCAGUAGGGAAUCUUCCACAAUGGGCGAAAGCCUGAUGGAGCAACGCCGCUGAGUGAAGAAGGUUUUCGGAUCGUAAAGCUCUGUUGUUGGUGAAGAAGGAUAGAGGUAGUAACUGGCCCCUAUUUGACGGUAAUCAACCAGAAAGUCACGGCUAACUACGUGCCAGCAGCCGCGGUAAUACGUAGUGGCAAGCGUUGCCGGAUUUAUUGGCGUAAGCGAGCGCAGGCGGAAGAUAAGUCUGAUGUGAAAGCCCCCGGCUUAACCGAGGAAUUGCAUCGGAAACUGGUUUCUUGAGGCAGAAGAGGAGAGUGGAACUCCAUGUGUAGCGGUGGAAUGCGUAGAUAUAUGGAAGAACACCAGUGGCGAAGGCGGCUUCUGGUCUGUAACUG